UACGUAGGGCGCAAGCGUUGUCCGGAAUUAUUGGGCGUAAAGAGCUCGUAGGCGGUUUGUUACGUCCGCUGUGAAAUCCCAGGGCUUAACCCUGGGCUUGCAGUGGAUACGGGCAGACUAGAGGCAGGUAGGGGAGAAUGGAAUUCCCGGUGUAGCGGUGAAAUGCGCAGAUAUCGGGAGGAACACCGGUGGCGAAGGCGGUUCUCUGGGCCUGACCUGACGCUGAGGAGCGAAAGCGUGGGGAGCGAACGG
rnacentral:rRNA from 1 species